AACGAACGCUGGCGGCGGGCUUAACACAUGCAAGUCGAACGGAAAGGCCGUGCUAUUGUGGGGUGCCGGAGUGGCGAAAGCGUGAGUAACACGUGAAUAACCUGACCUUGAAUUUGGGAUAACUUCAGGUAACUGAGGCUAAUACCGGAUAGGAGCCCCUGUUGCAUGGUGGGCGUUGGAAAGUUUCGCCGGGUGGGGAUGGACUCGCGGCUUAUUAACUUGCUGGUGGGGGAGGUGCUUACCAAGGCUGUGACGGGUAGCCGGCCUGAGAGGGUGACCGGCCACAUGAGUACUGAGAGACGGCCCAGACUCCUACGGGAGGCAGCAGUGGGGAAUAUUGCACAAUGGGCGGAAGUCUGAUGCAGCAACGCCGGGUGCGUGAUGACGGCCUUCGGGUUGUAAACCGCUUUCGCCUGAGACGAAGCGUGAGUGACGGUAAUGGGUAAAGAAGCACCGGCUAACUACGUG
rnacentral:rRNA from 1 species